rnacentral:rRNA from 1 species
UACGUAGGGUGCAAGCGUUGUCCGGAAUUAUUGGGCGUAAAGAGCUCGUAGGCGGUUUGUUGCGUCGGCUGUGAAAUCCCGAGGCUCAACCUCGGGUCUGCAGUCGAUACUUCCGAGCUGGAGGUAGGUAGGGGAGAUCGGAAUUCCUGGUGUAGCGGUGAAAUGCGCAGAUAUCAGGAGGAACACCGGUGGCGAAGGCGGAUCUCUGGGCCGAUACUGACGCUGAGGAGCGAAAGCGUGGGGAGCGAACAGG